UGGGGAAUAUUGGGGCAAUGGGCGCAAGCCUGACCCAGCAACGCCGCGUGAAGGAAGAAGGCUUUCGGGUUGUAAACUUCUUUUAAGAGGGAAGAGCAGAAGACUGUACCUCUAGAAUAAGCCACGGCUAACUACGUGCCAGCAGCCGCGGUAAUACGUAGGUGGCAAGCGUUGUCCGGAUUUACUGGGUGUAAAGGGCGUGCAGCCGGGAAUGCAAGUCAGAUGUGAAAUCCAUGGGCUUAACCCAUGAACUGCAUUUGAAACUGUAUUUCUUGAGUACUGGAGAGGCAAUCGGAAUUCCUAGUGUAGCGGUGAAAUGCGUAGAGAUUAGGAGAACACCGGUGGCGAAGGCGACUUUCUGGACGACAACUGACGCUGAGG
rnacentral:rRNA from 1 species